GUGUUUUGGUUUAGAAUUCCUACGCUUUACCGUGUGUUGAUGUGGCAAAGCGUUUGGAUUCUGAAUCAGAAUUA
rnacentral:pre_miRNA from 14 species